AGAUAGAGUCUUACAGUGUUGGCUAGCAGGCUGGUCUUGAGCUCCUGUGUUCAAGCAAUCCUACGUCAGCCUCCCAAAUAGCUGGGCCUACAGGCAUGUGCCACUACACCCUAUGCUGCUGCUUUUUAAUGGAAUGUUUAAUGCAUAAGUUUUAGGCUCCAAUACAAUAUUAGUAAGACUUAUUAACUUAGCAGAUCAAUGUGGCAAUAUUAUUUAUCCCAGGAAUGUUCAGGUGUUCGUGUGUGGUGUGUCUAUAUGAUUGGAAACCCAUCAACUGGCUGUGAAAGCAGCAGUUUAGGAUUGCCCAAAAGACAAAGAUUUGGAAAAGCUUUAAAAAGUUUUGACCACAAAGGUCAUAAAUUUUAGUCUAGUGAUGCAGAUUUACUGGAUCCUGAUGAGCAACAGGAGUGAAAAGCAUUUUCUAGAAGAAAAACCUGUGGUGAUUUCUAGGUAAAGGACUUCAGAUGAGAUCCUGAAGUAAUAACAUAUUGGCAGCUUUAGUAGACUCACAAACAUGAGGUUAGGCAGCGAUCUAAGGUGAUAGACAGAUGACAUCAGAAACAAAAUAAGUACUAGGCAAGGCCAUAGCCUUGAAUUUUUAUUAGAGUUAGGAAUUGAGGAUAUUCUGAACCCCGAGGAUUUCAACCAAGAGAAAGAGUAGCAAGGCAAUUUAGUUUAAAAAAUAAUUCUGAUGUAUAUUGGGAAGGAUUUUAUUCAACUUAAAAUCAGAAAAACAACCACUAAUAGUUUAUGUGAUGCUUCUUCUAAUUCUUACCUGGUAUUUUAGUUCUAGGUUCCUAUUAAGGUUCAAUAAACCGCGACAAUUGACCAAGGGCUGGGCUGUGAUAAAGUCUUCCAUUUUAAACAAAUACAAAUAACAUUGAACCAGAAAGAGACAUCAAGUCCAUUUAAGGCAUUGGUGUGUUUGUACAAGACCUGGGUUAUGUAGGAAUAGCAGUAAAGAACAAAGCCUCAGACAUCUGAUAGACAUUGCUUUUACUUCCUUUUUAUGUGACUUUAAGUGGGCCUAUGACUUAAUCUAUUUGACCUUUACUAGGCCUAUAGUUAUCUUUAGUACAUAUUGCCAGUUUUCUAAGUGGUUUUACCAUUUUACAUUCCCACCAGCAAUUUUUUAGAGUUUUAGUGUCUCCACAUCCUCACCAACAUUCAGAUGAGGGGAUGGUGGUUUCUCAUUGUGAUUUUAGUUUGUAUUUCUGUGAUGACAAACGGUAUAUAUCACCUUUUCAUAUGUUUAUUGGAUUCUUAGAUAUCAUAUAUUGUAAGGUGCCUUUUCCGAUUUCUUGCCUAUUUUUUAAAAUGAGGUUAGGUUUUUGAGGGUUGGUUGGUUGUUUUUUUGUUUUUUGUUUUUUUUUGUCUCUUUUAUUGAUUAGUAGUUUAAAAGAAAGUAUAUUCUAGAAUAUGAGUUCUUUACUGGAUAUGCAUCAUGCAAAUAUCUUCUUCCAGUCUGUGGCUUGCUGUUUUACUCUCUUAAUGGUGUCUUUUGAUGAACAUAAGUUUCUAAUUUUAAUAUAGUCACAUUUAUCAGUUUUUCCCUUUAUGUUUAGCACUUGUAUGUCUUUAGCACUUGUAUUUUAAAAACUUUUGUCUACCCUAAGGUAUUUUAUAAUAUUUCAGCAGCUUUAUUUCAAAGUUUAAAUCUUUAAUCCAUUGAGAAUUUGUUUUAGUAAGAGAUAUGAGGUAGGGACCCAAUUUUAUUUUUUUCCAAAUGCUUUUAAACUUCUCUGAAAACAUUCCUCAAUUAAUAUUUUAAACUCCACCUUUAGGGUGUUUUCAAUCACAAUAAUCAUAAGUUUAUGAUAUAAAACACUCCAAUACUUAGCAAUGUUCAAUGAAAUAUUAAAACACCAAAAGACACAAUCUCAGAAACAGAUAAAUCUCUCAGUGAACCAAAUAUAGAACAGAAAAGCAAAACAAUGAGUGGAGCUGAAGUCAAAGGGCUUCUGUGUUGUGGGUUUCUUGUUUUUUUAAGGGGCAGUAUUUGCUGGGAGUUUAGCUGCUAUGAGAUAAGGAGUACUUAAAGUAUAUGAACAAGGGGCAUGAAUCCUGAUUUCCAUAUGAAACCAGGGGCCGGGGAAAAGGAUCUUCUUCUCAUGAAAAAAGGCAAAAAGGCUAGGGGAAAACAAAGUUUCUGGUCACUACACUGGGCUGUGACUUUAGAAAACUUCAGGGUACAUUUGAAGGAAGGUACAUCCUCGUAAUCAGAACAGAAGUGGUUGUCUGUGAGCUUUGUGACAGCAUCAGGUUUAUCUCCAUUGUCACCCUGGGACAAGAAUCUUAAUAUACCUUUAUCAGACCUCAUCUGGAUUGGAGUGAUCAUGACUUGCGUAGAUAUAAACACAAGACUACCUGGCCAAGGUCUGGGUUGAAUACCGAGGAAGAGAGAGGAGGAAAAACAAUACACAACAGGCCAAAAUUCCAUGCCUGUCGAUCAGGUAUUCCUUAAAUCCCUGGUUAGUGGUGCUGGCUGAGGCCCUGAGGAAAGGAAAGGCAAACCUACAUCUGGAAUGGAUACCAAUUGCUGUGAGGAAAAAAACCAAAACAAAACAAAACACCGUGGACCCUUCGAGGAUAAAAGGAGCCCAACAUAAUCAACUUUCCAUCUAAUGGCUGGUUGUCACAUUGGAGGCUCAGCACUGAUAUGUGUUGCUGGCAAGUGGGACACUCAGAGACAACCGUAGCUAUAUCAACCUUGGUGAGUGAAAGCCCAUGCCACUGAGUCCAUGUAUAGCCUCCAUUUCUGCCUCUCUGGUCACUUCAUUCAUGGGCCAUUGUGCUGGGGUGGCCAGUGACAAAAACUGGCUAAUAUUAACUCACCAAGUCAUUUUGUUUACUUGAUUGUUUAAUGCUCCUUCCAUGAUAAUAAUUUCAUUUUAAUGACGUUUUCAGGGGCCAGGUGUUGUGGCUCAGGCCUGUAAUGUCAGUGCUUUGAGAGGCCAAGGUAAGAGAAUUGCUUCAGGCCAGGAGUUUAAGACCAGCCUGGGCAACAUGCCAAGACCCUUGUACCUUUGUAAUGAGCAUUAGUGUGUGAUACAACAAUCUUUGUACUUCAUUCAUGUCAAUUCUCAUAGGCCUAUCUACAUGCUGGUACCCCAGAAGUCCUUGUCUCUGUAUCUUUCAGUCCUCCGUGUUUCUGACUAGUAGGCCAAGCCAUUUGUCACUGCCCAUGAAUCCAUACAUACUCUCGUCACAAGCCCACUCCUUCCACACAAGGUGGAUGACCAUUGCCUGAACUGGGACCAUCAGAAAGAUUUUCCCUCUCCACUGUCUUUCAAGGCCACCCGUCAAUGAAGUUGUAAUGCAGCUGCCAUUCAUUUUUGGCUUGAGUAACCUAUUCAUUACCUCAAAACCCAGGCUUUGUCUACCUCCUUCACAUGGUUGUACAUAUGUGUGUAUAUAUAAAUGUGUGUACAUAGGUUAUGGUAUGUAGGCCAUAGGUGUGACUUAGGGAAGAAUUCUGGGUGAACUGUGGUGGAUGAUGGGGGGGUCCGCUCAUGCAGCUUACAUGUGCCCCGUGGUCCUGCUCGUGAUUAUCCUGUAUGUAGUAUUUCUAUUUUAUAAUAGAUUAUUGGCAAGCCAUCUUAACUUUAUGACUUACUGAGUUCAGCAGUUCUGGACAUACGGUCACUAAGUGUCACAUGGUCAAAUUUCCAUCUCUGUCAGGUCCCAGUAUCAUAUCAGAAGCUGUUUUUGUUUUGUUUUGUUUUUGAGAUGAAGUUUUGCUCUUGUUGUCCAGGCUGGAGUACAGUGGCACAAUCUUGGCUCACUGCAACCUCUGCCUCUGGGGUUCAAGCGAUUCUCCUGCCUCAGCCUGCCCAGUAGCUUGGAUUACAGGCAUACACCACCAUGCCCAGCUAAUUUUGUAUUUUUAGUAGAGACAGGGUUUCACCAUGUUGACCAAGCUGCUCUUGAACUCCUGACCUCAGGUGAUCCACCCACAUAGUCCUCCCAAAGUGCUCGGAUUACAGGCGUGAGCCACCACCUGGCCCAGAAGCUGUUUUUUAAAAGUCAUAUAAUUUUAUGCUAUAGAUGUCACAGACCCCAGGUUCUGCACUGUGAUUCUUCCUCUAGAGUUUACUAUAAACACACUGCCCUUUUUAUCAAAACUGAUACAUAUAAUACCAUAGGGUCUGCUGGAUUGUAUGACUCAAGUGGCUGGGCGACUUGCAUCACAGCCUGUACCUUCUAAAGAGCUCUUGUUCCCAGCCCCACUCAAAGCUGGCAGCCUCUUAUAUUGCCUGAUACGUACGUAGGUGAGCUCAGUAUACCUAGUUGUGGAAUGUGUGGCCUCCAGAACAUAAGGAGGCUUAAUAGGCAUGUGUCUCCUACAAAUAAUGAAAGUAUUGCCUCUUCCUUUCCAAUUUAAGACCCCAUUUUUCUUUCUCUUCCCUAAUCGCAUUUGCUAUUCCUUCCAUGACAGUGCUAAGUAAUAGUAGUGAAAGUGAACUACUAAAAAUUUAUUGGCCUGGUGCAUUUUGAGGUGUAGCUUUCUGACGAUCAAAAUUUUUUUUGUAUCAUAAUUUGUCCAUUUAGAUUUGCUGUCUUCUCUGGAGCUAGAUUUUUAUUAUUUAUAUUUUCCUAAAAAUACAUCCAUUUUAAUAAUGGUUUCAGGGGCCAGGAGCUAUGGCUUAUGCCUGAAAUCUCAGUGCUCUGAAAGGCCAAGAUAGGAUAAUCUCCAGAGGCCAGGAGCUGAAGACGAGUUUGGGCAACAUAGCAAGACUCUGUCUCUACAAAACAAUUUAAAAAUUAGCUGGGCGUGAUGGUACACAUGUGUAGUUUCAGCUACUUGGGAGGCUGAGGCAAGAGGAUCACUUGAGCCCAGGAGUUCAAGGCUGCAGUGAGCUAUGAUCAUGCUGUUGCACCCCAGUCUACGUGACAGAGACUCUGUCUUAAAAUAAAUAAAUAUGUAGAGUUGAGAAAAGCAAUCAGUUAUAAUUUGUUUUAUAUUUUAUCUGAAUCUGUUCUCUCCACAUUCUAAUUUUUUUUUGUUUAUUUAUGUUUCUUUUUUCUUGUUUAAACUACUUAUUAGCUAAAUGGUUUGUUGGUGCCCUCCAAUUUCUUGAAUUGGAAACUUAAACUUUUAUUCCUAUGUGAAUAACAUAAAUGAACAUAAAUAUUUAACUAAUGUUACAUAUUAUCCUCUGG
rnacentral:lncRNA from 10 species